rnacentral:rRNA from 1 species
GACGAACGCUGGCGGCGUGCUUAACACAUGCAAGUCGAGCGGAAAGGCCCUGCUUUUGUGGGGUGCUCGAGUGGCGAACGGGUGAGUAACACGUGAGUAACCUGCCCUUGACUUUGGGAUAACUUCAGGAAACUGGGGCUAAUACCAGAUAGGAGCUCCUGCUGCAUGGUGGGGGUUGGAAAGUUUCGGCGGUUGGGGAUGGACUCGCGGCUUAUCAGCUUGUUGGUGGGGUAGUGGCUUACCAAGGCUUUGACGGGUAGCCGGCCUGAGAGGGUGACCGGCCACAUUGGGACUGAGAUACGGCCCAGACUCCUACGGGAGGCAGCAGUGGGGAAUAUUGCACAAUGGGCGGAAGCCUGAUGCAGCAACGCCGCGUGCGGGAUGACGGCCUUCGGGUUGUAAACCGCUUUCGCCUGUGACGAAGCGUGAGUGACGGUAAUGGGUAAAGAAGCACCGGCUAACUACGUG